CACUCAAAAGAAUUACAGCCACCGCUCAAAAAAGAAAGUAAGAAGAAUUACAGCCACCACACGACCUGUUCUCCCCCAAAUCGAACCCUCCCUAGACCUCCUCCUCAACCGCCGCCGCCGCCCCCUCUGCCGUUGACCACGCCCUCCGCCACCACCCCUUUGGCUGACCUGUGCGACCCCAUCGGGAUCUAUGGCGGCGGUGCUUGGAUCUCGGCGCCGCCUCCCUCGAUACGCCUCUGAUGUGCGAGGUUGUCGUCGCCUCCCUCCCUUCGACACCACCACCAGAACUGGUCGACGAUGCCGGUCGCCUCCAUCUCUUCCUUACGGUCCAUCACGCCGACGAGCAUAGGCGGACUCCCCACCAUGGCUUCCUCCCCGCCAACGGCGAGCGUGGUGUCCCAUCUCCACUAUACUGGUACAAUACUUUCCUCAGAUCCGUCUUGGUGGAAAUCCGAUGCAGGUGAGAUCUUCCUAGGUUGUUAAUCUUUUCUUCUCUGGUCGAUGAGAACUCAUGGUGCGCAUUGUCCAGUUGUCCGUACGAAGGCAGAUUUCCCCUUCCACCGAGUUACUACUGAGUGUGUUCCUUAUUGUUGUUUUCCUUUUCCUACCAAAUUGAUGCAGGUGCUAUUAGUGAAAGGAUUGGAGAGUGGUUCUAGCAGUGGUUGGUUUGUUCGAGGAAUUCCUGGUGCUCGUGAUUUGUAAAGGGUUUCAGCCAGGGCAAGUAAUUAUCAGCUGAGCAAAGGCUACAACAUGCUAGGAGGAGAAGUUUGAAUGGAGGCAGAGAGUACACUUGAUGAUGUGCCAGAAGGAAAACAAAAGGCAACGAUGAGAAGGAAAACAAACGGCAAUCUACUUACAUCUGACGUGUUAAUUCGAAUGUGCCAAAAAUUUCUCUUUUCAGGAAAUAGAAUGGAAAAAGGAAGAGGAGAGAAUGCUGAAGCACAAGAGCGAGAGGCUAGCGGAAGUUAAAGCAAUAAACUAUAAGCAUUUUGAAUGAUUAGGGCCUCGUGUCGUUGGGAACAUUACAACCAUGGGGAAAGCUAAUUUUGGUUGCUAGUUUAGCAUAGAAGCCACUAUAUGCUCAUUUUGGUCGUGUGUCGCAUCAAAAAACAUAUGUAAUUUUCCUUUUGUUGCACAACACCCUUGUAUAUGGGCGUUUCUAGAAGCAUAUGUAUUUGGUCGUUAAUUUUAUUGAGUGAAGAUAAGUUUUACGAUGA